rnacentral:rRNA from 1 species
UAAUUGAAUACCAAACUUGUAAUACUUAACCGAUCUUAACGGAUGUGGGGUCACAUUAGAGCUGAAAUAAGAUCUAAACUCUUUCGGGGGUCAGCAGUGAAGAAUACUUAGACAAUGAGCGAAAGCUUGAUCUAACAAUAUCUCGUAGGUGAUGAAGAUUCAUAAUCGUAAAACUUAAAAUAUUUAAAGAAGAUAAUUGACUUGUAUUUAAAUAAUAAGUACUAACAAAUACCUGUGCCAGCAGUUGCGGUAAUACAGGAGGUACAAGUGUUAUUCGUCGUUAUUAGGCGUAAAGGGUAUGUAGGCUGUUUAUAUAAAUUUUUCUUAAAUUUUG